UACAGAGGUCUCAGCGUUGUUCGGAUUCAUUGGGCGUAAAGGGUGCGUAGGCGGCGCGGUCAGUCGGGUGUGAAAUCUUGGAGCUUAACUCCGAAACUGCAUUCGAUACUGCCGUGCUUGAGGACUGGAGAGGAGACUGGAAUUUACGGUGUAGCGGUGAAAUGCGUAGAUAUCGUAAGGAAGACCAGUGGCGAGGGCGGGUCUCUGGACAGUUCCUGACGCUGAGGCACGAAGGCCAGGGGAGCAAACGGG
rnacentral:rRNA from 1 species